CAAGUACUCCCUCCGUCCGGAAUUACUUGUCAUCAAAAUGGAUGUGUCUAGAACUAAAAUACACCUAGAUACAUCCAUUUCAAUGACAAGUAUUUUCGGACGGAGGGAGUACAAG
rnacentral:pre_miRNA from 1 species